GAUGCAUCAGUUGGUGAUAUCUGCUAGUGUGCUUGGUCAUACACUGGAGACCCUUCUGUCUUUUCAGCGCCUUUACAUCACUUCCAUCAAUGGCUGCUCUAGUGCUCUUGUCAGCAUCCUGGAUCCCUUCGUCCCAGGCUCCUAGUUGGGCUGGACUCGUGAGAGAGGCUGGCUAUAUGAAAGAUCACGGUAACCAGCUUGCAAGCUGAAUUGUGCUAACUGAGAAGCUUUGUUCUGCAAUUAUCUCGUGAACCUGUCAGCUCUGUGGCUGGUGCUUUCAUGCUGCUGCUCACCAUAUCACAAAAAACGCAGUCUUAAAACAGCUUCAUUUGAUGCCCUCAAGUGGUGACACUGUGUACUGGUGUAUAUAAAUUAAGAGUGCACAGAUGAAACGGUAGCAGUCAGAAAAAUUCAUUAAAUACUUGGCAGCCCGAGUGACAAAAAUGCCAGAGUCUAAAAUUCCUUGCUCUGCCAUGUGCUCUCUGUGUGGCCUUGGCAAUAGAGUAUUAUUCAUUAUUUCUGUUACCACAUGGCCUAGGAUCCUUGAGUAUCUUGGUUUUCUCAUCUACAAAAUGCAGGUUGUGCCUCCUUGCCUUGGCAGAUGUCGUGAGUGUAAAUGUAUUAAUAUGAGUAAGCUGCUUGGAUACUGAAAUGACAGGGAACCAUAAAAAGGGACAGAACCAGCAGGGGGUGGGGGAAUGGACUGAA